rnacentral:rRNA from 1 species
UACGUAGGGGGCAAGCGUUGUCCGGAAUCAUUGGGCGUAAAGAGCGCGUAGGCGGUCCGGUAAGUCCGCUCUGAAAGUCCGGGGCUCAACCCCGGGAGGCGGGCGGAUACUGUCGGGCUAGAGUCCGGUAGAGGCGAGUGGAAUUCCUGGUGUAGCGGUGAAAUGCGCAGAUAUCAGGAGGAACACCGAUGGCGAAGGCAGCUCGCUGGGACGGUACUGACGCUGAGGCGCGAAAGCGUGGGGAGCAAACAGG